rnacentral:rRNA from 1 species
GUCCACGCCGUAAACGAUGGAUGCUAGAUGUUGGGGGUAUUGACCCCUCCGGCGUCGCAGCUAACGCAUUAAGCAUCCCGCCUGGGGAGUACGGCCGCAAGGCUAAAACUCAAAGGAAUUGACGGGGGCCCGCACAAGCGGUGGAGCAUGUGGUUUAAUUCGACGCAACGCGAAGAACCUUACCUGGGUUAAAUCCGCCGGAAUCUGCCAGAGAUGGUGGAGUGCCCUUCGGGGAACCGGCGAGAAGGUGCUGCAUGGCUGUCGU